rnacentral:lncRNA from 10 species
AAACAAUCUUUCCAGCCAAGCUUCCUUGGGCCAGUUGAAGUGAAACCAAGGAUUGUCCACUUAUCUCAGUAAUUAAGGCACAAAGAGACCCAUGCUGUUUGGGUCUGACUUUUCCAAAUCUGAGGGAUGAUGGUUUUAGCAAAUUCAGUGUGGACCAGAUCUUUGAUUCACUGUGGUCAUUCAGUCGUUUCUGAGUCAUUGCUGGACAGCAGAAGCAGACAGCUGAAUCACAGCUCAGAAAACCGUAAUGAGCUGAGCAGCAUUACAGCUUGUUUCGCUUAAUAUUUAUUCUUAAAACAUGACUUCAUUUGUGAUGGCUAUACUUGGAGAUCCAGAUACAAGUCCAGCGUGUUUGCUGUAACAAGUUAAUGCGAUGAAAUAUGGAAAAACCUAUUUGCCUCUGUCUUCAAAAUUUGCACAAAGCUCCUUUCUGGUGAGGAUUGCGUUGCACUGAUCUCUACACAUUUUCCUGGCAUGCAGUGCUGUUUGGCCCUUUAUGGGAUGGGCACAAAGACCCUGUGUCUACCUUCCCAGUGGGCUGCAUAAGAGACCGGGCACAGUGGAGACACAUACAAAGGAAACUUGAAAUUAAACCUAAAGACCUUAUUAGACUCAAAUCACAUAUUUUUGGCAAGAAAAUUGUAUUGUUCAUGCUAUCAAUUGCCUUUUGUGUUAUAUGAGAAGGACCAACUCAGGGAAGAAGUUCAUUGGUACAAACCCCACACCAUGGGACCCCUGGAGGACUAUACCUUAGAAGCAGGGAUGAAAGAGAGACUGCCAUUCCCGUGGUUACAGCUAUUGAAAUGACACCCAUAGAAAACAGAAGAAAAUAAUUAGCUUCCACUCAUUUCCAAACCCAGUACUUUCUGGGACUCAGACUGGCUCUUCUUGCUCCUCUGCUUGCAGACAGCCUGUUGUGGAACCUUGUGAUCAGGUUGGGCUGGAAAAUCCAUUUCUCACGGUUCCAAAGGCUGGGAAGCCAGGGUCAAGGUCCUGCAGAUCCAGUGUCUGGCGAAGCCCUUCUUCCGGGUUUGGAAAUGGCUGCCUUCUCCUUCUAUCCUCACACGGCAGAGAGAGAAAGAGACUGUGAGAAACAGAGGAAGUACUCCAGGGAGUUCUGCAAUGUCUUCUAAAAGGAUGCUAAUCACAUCAUGGGGGCUCCAUCUUUGUGACCUAAUCACUUCCCAAAGGCCCCACAUCCUAAUACCGUCACAUGGGAAGUGAGGGUUUCAACAUGUGAAUUUGUGAGGGGACACAAACAUUCAGUCCAUGGCACUAACAUACCCAACACCAGAAUCUGAGUGGAGAGUUUCAUCUGGGUGAUAUCCCUUCAGUUUGUGUAAAGCCCUGAACUCCACCUCGUCUUUCUCAGCUGCUUUUCCUGUUUUCUCUGCCAUGGUGAUGCUGCUGCCUUCCACUCAAGUUAUGAGAAGACAGGGUCCCACAGUUUACCAUCUGCUUCUGUCACCCGUCUUGAGUUGGUCACAAAUUCCUACUGAUGAUACCACACAAAGGACUCCUGGGCAUGUCGUCUCCUCUCUUGAAAACAUAGGGUCUUAGUCCAGGUCUUCAUUUAUGCAUUCGUCCAACAUUUCCUGUUUUACUUUCUUUCAUGGUGUUCUCCAUGGUGGUGAUUAAAUAAGCUUCCUAAAAUACAGAAAAAAUAAUGUCAUUAUUUGCUUAAAAACUCCCCAUUUCUUCUCCAUUGCUCAUUUUUUAAAUAACACAUUUUUGUUAUUGUGGCAGGAUACGCAUAACAAAAUGACCAUUCUGAGUGCACAGUUCUGGGGUACUGAGUCCAUUCACAUGGUUGUGCAACCAUCACCACCACUCAUCUCUAGAAUGCUUUCCAUCCUUCAAAACCGAAACUUCGUACUCAUUAAACAAUUCCCCACUUCUCUCUCCCCUCAGAACCUGGCAACCACCAUUUAACUUUUUGUCUCUGUGAGUUUGACUAUUCUGGAUAUCUCAUAUAAGUGGAGUCACACGUUGUCUUUUUGUGACUGGUUUAUUUCACUUGGUUUAAUGUCUUAAGGUUCAUCCCUGUUGUGGCACAUUGCUGUGAUUUGAAUGGGUCACCUUGAAAAUCCAGGUGUUAUCAAUGUGGUACUAUUAAGAGGUGGGGGUUUUAGGUGGUGAUUAGAUCAAGAGAGCUCUUCCAUCAUGAGUGAGAUUAGGUGCCCUUAUAAAAGGACUUCAUGAAGGAGUUUGUCCCCCUUUUGCCCUUCUUCCUUUUGCCAUGUAAGAACACAGUGCUCCUCCCUUCUGGAGGCUGCAGCAAUAAGGCCUCCUCUUGGAAGUAGAGAGCCACCCUGAACCAGAUGCUGAAUCUGCUGGCAUCUUGAUCUUGGACUUAUAGCUCCCAGAACUAUAAGAAAUAAAUUUCUGUUCAUUAAUAAUUACCAGUUUUUGGUAUUUUGUCAUAGCAGCGCAAGCAGACCAAGACACAUAUAUAAGGAUUUCUUCCUUUUGAUGGGUGAAUAAUAUUCCAUUGUAUGUGUAGAGUACAUUUCAAUUAUUCUAUCAUCCAUAGGUGGACCUGAGAGGUUGCUUCCAUAUUUUGACUAUUGCAAAUAAUGCUGCUAUGAACAUGAGUAUACAGAUAUUUGGGUCCGUGCUUUCAUUCCUCUUGGGUAUAUACCUAGAAGUAGAAUUUCUGGAUUGUAUGGUAAUUCUAUAUUUAAUAUUUUCAAGAACUGCCACGCUGUUUUCCGCAGCUGCUGCACCAGUUUACCUUCCCACCAACAGUGCUCAAGGGUUUCAAUUUCUCUACAUUCUUGCUAACACUUGUUAUUUUCUGUUACUUAUUUAGUUUUUUAUUUUUGAUAAUAGUCUAAUGAGUGUGAGGUUGUAUCUCAUCGUGGUUUGAUUUCCAUUUUCCAUUAUAACUAGUGAUGUUGAAGAUCUUUUCGGGUAGUUACUGGUCAUUUGUAUAUCUGUCUUGGAGAAAUAUCUAUUCAAGUCCUUUGCCCAUUUUUCG